rnacentral:sRNA from 2 species
CGCGGGUUCUUCUCACAUCUCCCCACCAUCCCUCCUCUUCGUCUGUUGUAUGUCAAACUGCCAUAGACAUCGCGUUAUUAUAUUCCCUGACCGUCCGUUAAACAUCAUAGAGACGCGAUAUUUCCCACAACCCAUACACAUGCAAUGUUUUAGUUAGAUGCGCCCAACCUACCCUUGGUGUAUCCCGCCUACCUCCAUCUGGAACCGUCUCAACCGGCUCAGAAACAUGACGUUGGACAGAGUAGCUGGAGGAAAUGAUGACACCGGCGGUGGUGCUGUGGGGACCUCCCCAGCCCACGCUCAUAGAACACUGAAGAAAUUAAUUUUUGCGCCAGGAGACAUCGCAGCACCGCAUCCCGCCCCUACCCAGCAGCGGCAGCAACAACCCCUCACAACCACCAGC